GACGAACGCUGGCGGCGUGCUUAACACAUGCAAGUCGAACGAUGAACCCGGAGCUUGCUCUGGGGGAUUAGUGGCGAACGGGUGAGUAACACGUGAGUAACCUGCCCUGGACUCUGGGAUAAGCGUUGGAAACGACGUCUAAUACCGGAUAGGACCUUGGAUCGCAUGAUCUGGGGUGGAAAGUUUUUUCGGUCUGGGAUGGACUCGCGGCCUAUCAGCUUGUUGGUGAGGUAAUGGCUCACCAAGGCGUCGACGGGUAGCCGGCCUGAGAGGGUGACCGGCCACACUGGGACUGAGACACGGCCCAGACUCCUACGGGAGGCAGCAGUGGGGAAUAUUGCACACUGGGCGAAAGCCUGAUGCAGCAACGCCGCGUGCGGGAUGACGGCCUUCGGGUUGUAAACCGCUUUUAGUAGGGAAGAAGGGCUUCGGCUUGACGGUACCUGCAGAAAAAGGACCGGCUAACUACGUG
rnacentral:rRNA from 1 species